rnacentral:sRNA from 1 species
ACACCCCGUAUGCCCAGGUCCGCCGCAUCUCCUGGCAUGUGGGGUCGGCUCGGCCCAGAACGGCGAGAGUGGCCUCCUCGUUGACCCGUUCUGGGCCGGCCACCUU